GGCGGGAUGGUGUAAAGGUAACAUACGGCUUUAGUAAUGCCGUGCUGCCGGUUCGAGUCCGUGCUCCUGCAUCCA
rnacentral:tRNA from 1 species